AUUGAACGCUAGCGGGAUGCUUUACACAUGCAAGUCGAACGAGUGGCGGAAGGGUGAGUAAUAUAUGGGAACGUGCCCAGUAGAGGGGGAUAACUACUCGAAAGAGUGGCUAAUACCGCAUACUCUUGGAUCUGCCGAUAUGGGAUUAGCUAGUUGGUGGGGUAAAGGCUCACCAAGGCAACGAUCCGUAGCUGGUCUGAGAGGACGACCAGCCACACUGGACCUGCGACACGGCCCAGACUCCUACGGGAGGCAGCAGGGGGGAAUUUUGAACAAUGGGGGAAACCCUGAGCCAGCCAUCCCGCGUGUAUGAGAAGGCCUUCGUGUUGUAAAGUACUUUCCGCAGAGAUGCGGUAUCCGCAGAAGAAGCACCGGCUAACUACGUGCCAGCAGCCGCGGUAAUUC
rnacentral:rRNA from 1 species